GACGAACCGAGCGAACGUUGUUCGGAAUCACUGGGCUUAAAGGGCGCGUAGGCGGGUGCUCAAGUCCGUGGUGAAAUCCUCCGGCUCAACCGGAGAACUGCCUCGGAUACUGGGUGCCUCGAGGGUGGUAGGGGUAUGCGGAACUAUCGGUGGAGCGGUGAAAUGCGUUGAUAUCGAUAGGAACUCCGGUGGCGAAGGCGGCAUACUGGACCACCUCUGACGCUGAGGCGCGAAAGCCAGGGGAGGCAAACGGG
rnacentral:rRNA from 1 species